GACUCGGAGGUAUACCGUUGUAAAGGCUGUGUAACAGUUCAUGUUAAGACUUACGAAGGCCGACAUUUCCAAUAUCCACAGAUAAAUUGUAUACCGCCUCUUUUGUUUGUCAGCAUUCGACUGUUACUAGAUCAGGUAUUUGCAUGUAUGUUCUCCUUCACUGCGUGUUUGACUACAGCUGGCGCCCAUAGUGUUCACUUACUUCAGCCAGGUGAUGGACACUGGCAUUCCUUCAACUUCUAACACAGUGCUGCACUGGGGGACUUCUGAAAACCAUUAACCUGGAAGAAAACGUGGCCGCACAGUGGCUUUCCAAGUAAAGUUCUGUAAUACACUUAGACUCUAAUUGUUUGCAGUCAGUGCAUUACAGAACUUUGUUUUGGGAGUUAAUGCUCUGGCUUUGAGGAAAUAGUACCUUUGGAGGUUGUGGUAAUGAUGCAAAAUGUAUUAUUUUUUUCAUCCUACAGUACACUGCAUUUUUCAUCAGGGUUCUUCACUUUUAGAUAAUUUGAACUUCAGUCGAUUGAAAAAACUUUAUAUUGAGAAUAUAUGUCACAAUAAAAGCACAGACUUGUGUGUUUAUGUUCCAGUUAUUGCUGGCUUGUAUUGUUAGAAAAUCUUCAUGCAGAUAAAAACCCUCAUCAAUUUCAUAUCAGUAUAAUAUGAUGAAUAGAGGGUGACAGAUGAAAGAGUAAAAAGUAUUCGAUCAAUGUCAAAAUUCACAAGAAGAGUAAACAUAAAGCCAAAUGAAGAAAAAUAACCACAUUCACACAUUCUUACUUCUGAGGGAUUUCUAAUUAAUGGGCUUUGCGACAUAAAUACAAGUAAAUGCAGCAGUUGUCAAUAAAUAACUAAGAUAUUUAAUGGCAAAGUAGAAUUCUGAAGUUGGCAAGCGACUAAACAUAUGAUGCGAAAGACCCUGGGAUCCUCACACGUAUGCUAGUCUCAUGUUUGGAGAGACCAUAACUGAACUGGGAUACUGAACAAACCAGGCUAGUCUGUUCUUAGCCUGUGGUCUUUUAAAUAUACAUUUCUAAUUAUUUUCACUGUAAAUAAAAUGCAGAUUAUAGUCAUAGUCAUAGAAAAACCAAGGUUUCUUCUUGAAAUUAGGGUGAAGAAAGGUCGAUACAAUCUUUAAGUGAAUGUGUCUCGAGUAGAGCACUCACCCUGCAGUUUGUGUGGGUUCAAAUGCCCCAUAUAGGGACGGGGACACUAUACUGUAAAAAAG